CAGGCGAAGUGGAAACGUAAAAGCAAGAGCUAAUAGGCCUCAUUGACUUCAAAACACAAAAGCACGUGUGUGAGUUCCAACGGAGCAGAAUACUAGGUCUCUAGGUGGUGUACUUGUCAUACCAUAACUUUUUGGUUCGUGCAGGGCACGUUGCUGCCACAGUGUCGAACUACAGAACAGAAGAGAUUUAUACACAGCGAUCAGCGGGCACUGUCCUACACAAUGUGACAACAGCAUGAUCCGCCUGCGUCGACGAUUCUGCACCGUCUACUGCGGGCCGAACUGACAGACUGCGUGGCAUUGCGUCUGCUUCCAUUGUCCAGAAACCACAAACUCUUCAUGCUGCGGUGGUCAGGUUAACACCGUCAGUGGGAAGUGACAAGAACGCGUUGUGCAGCAUUCAAACAAAUGUGAAUACUGUGAUCGUGAGUGUCCGGGGAGUUUCGGCCAGAUGGCUGGCUGGUGAGUACCGCUA